AUCUUAUGCCGCCACCAAUGAGCCGGCAAUGUCUGCAGUCAGGCAUGCGCCGCUGUGAGUGUUAGAAGGUCUUCGGAUACUGUCAAGUCACGUUUGUAUGUUGGAAGACAGGUCACGUAUGCCUAAUAGCGCUGCUGCUUUUGACGUUACCGUACAGAAAUAAGCACCGGGCCUAACUACUGUGCCAGCAGCCGCGGGUAAUACGAGAGGGUGCAAGCGUUGAAUCCGGGAAUUUACUGGGCGUAAAGCGCGCGCUAGGUGGUUUCGUUAAGUUUGGAUGUGAAAGCCCCCGGGCUCAACCUGGGAACUGCAUCCGAAAACUGGGCGAGCUAGAGUACGGUAGAGGGUGGUGGAAUUUCCUGUGUAGCGGUGAAAUGCGUAGAUAUAGGAAGGAACACCAGUGGCGAAGGCGACCACCUGGUACUGUAUACUGACACUGAGGUGCGAAAGCGUGGGGAGCAAACAGGAUUAGAUACCCUGGUAGUCCACGCCGUAAACGAUGUCAACUAGCCGUUGGAAUCCUUGAGCAUUUUAGUGGCGCAGCUAACGCAUUAAGUUGACCGCCUGGGGAGUACGGCCGCAAGGUUAAAACUCAAAUGAAUUGACGGGGGCCCGCACAAGCGGUGGAGCAUGUGGUUUAAUUUGAAGCAACGCGAAGAACCUUACCAGGCCUUGACAUGCAGAGAACUUUCCAAAGAUGGAUUGGUGCCUUUGGGAACUAUAACACCGGUGGUGCAUGGCUGUUGUCAGCUCGUGUCGUUAGAUGUUGGGUUAAGUCCCGUAACGAGGGCAACCCUUGUCUUUAGUUACCAGCCCGUUAUGGUGGGCACUUUAAGGAGACUGCCGGUGCCAAACCGGGGGAAGGUGGGGAUGAGGUCAAGUCUUCAUGGCCCUUUCGGCUUGGGCUCCCCAGGUGCUCCAAUGGUCGGUCCAAAGGGUUGCCAAGCCGCGGGGUGGAGCUAUCUCCCAAAACCCGUUCGUAGUCCGGUUCCCGGUUUGCAACUGGCUGGCGUAAAUCGAAACGCUGGUAUCGCGAACGCAAGUCGCGGUAAAAAGUUCCCGGCCCUGGUCCCCCCCGCCCGUCCCCCCAGGGAAUGGUUCCCCCGAAAGUGGCUAUCUACCUUUGGGGGCCGCUUCCCAAGGGUUUAAUGGU
rnacentral:rRNA from 1 species